GGAUUAGAUACCCUGGUAGUCCACGCCGUAAACGAUGUCUACUUGGAGGUUGUGGCCUUGAGCCGUGGCUUUCGGAGCUAACGCGUUAAGUAGACCGCCUGGGGAGUACGGUCGCAAGAUUAAAACUCAAAUGAAUUGACGGGGGCCCGCACAAGCGGUGGAGCAUGUGGUUUAAUUCGAUGCAACGCGAAGAACCUUACCUACUCUUGACAUCCAGAGAACUUAGCAGAGAUGCUUUGGUGCCUUCGGGAACUCUGAGACAGGUGCUGCAUGGCUGUCGUCAGCUCGUGCCG
rnacentral:rRNA from 1 species